UGGGGAAUAUUGGACAAUGGGCGAAAGCCUGAUCCAGCCAUGCCGCGUGUGUGAAGAAGGUCUUCGGAUUGUAAAGCACUUUAAGUUGGGAGGAAGGGCAGUAAGCGAAUACCUUGCUGUUUUGACGUUACCGACAGAAUAAGCACCGGCUAACUCUGUGCCAGCAGCCGCGGUAAUACAGAGGGUGCAAGCGUUAAUCGGAAUUAGUGGGCGUAAAGCGCGCGUAGGUGGUUCGUUAAGUUGAAUGUGAAAGCCCCGGGCUCAACCUGGGAACUGCAUCCAAAACUGGCGAGCUAGAGUAGGGCAGAGGGUGGUGGAAUUUCCUGUGUAGCGGUGAAAUGCGUAGGUAUAGGAAGGAACACCAGUGGCGAAGGCGACCACCUGGGCUCAUACUGACACUGAGGUGCGAAAGCGUGGGGAGCAAACAGG
rnacentral:rRNA from 1 species